rnacentral:rRNA from 1 species
ACGUAGGGGGCAAGCGUUAUCCGGAAUUAUUGGGCGUAAAGAGCGCGUAGGUGGUUUUUUAAGCGUGAGGUGAAAGGCAAUAGCUUAACUAUUGUAAGCCUUGCGAACUGGAAGACUUGAGUGCAGGAGAGGAAAGUGGAAUUCCUAGUGGAGGGGUGAAAGGCUUAGAGAUCAGGAGGAACACCAGAGGCGAAGGCGCAAAUCUGGAAUAUAUCCCACACUGAUACAGGAAACCGUCUCUAACAAAUAG